rnacentral:rRNA from 1 species
UACAGAGGGUGCGAGCGUUGUUCGGAAUUAUUGGGCGUAAAGGGCGCGUAGGCGGUGCGGUAAGUCACCUGUGAAAUCUCCUGGCUCAACUGGGAGCUUGCAGGCGAAACUGCCGUGCUGGAGUGUGGGAGAGGUGCGUGGAAUUCCCGGUGUAGCGGUGAAAUGCGUAGAUAUCAGGAGGAACACCGAUGGCGAAGGCAGCUCGCUGGGACGGUACUGACGCUGAGGCGCGAAAGCGUGGGGAGCAAACAGG